rnacentral:rRNA from 1 species
ACUCCUACGGGAGGCAGCGGUGGGGAAUAUUGCACAAUGGGCGAAAGUCUGAUGCAGCAACGCCGCGUGAGCGAUGAAAGUCUUCGGAUCGUAAAGCUCUGUCCUCAAGGAAGAUAAUGACGGUACUUGAGGAGGAAGCCCCGGCUAACUACGUGCCAGCAGCCGCGGUAAU